rnacentral:lncRNA from 1 species
ACAGAUCGAAUUAACAUUCAAGGUUCAGUUACAGGCCCAGACAUGAGAAAAAAGAAUUUGCCGGGAUGGGGCAGGUUUCGAAAUUUCAAUGGCGAAUUACUGUGAAAAUUGUGGAGAAAUGCACUUACUGUCUUCGGCGGUAAUGACUCCCUUCACAAGAAUCGGGAGGCUGGUGAUGGUCUGCAGCCACUUCACAUCCUUCCAGGUCAAGGACCUAUCGAUCUGACCAGCGACGUAGGAAGCCAAUCCUGAGUCCGCAGUCUUGUCCAUCUUGCCCAGGUCCAAGCCCUCAAAGUUAGCGAGAGUCAGGUGGCUCGGCAACACGAAUUUGUUCUUGAUGUCGGCCUCACGGCGUCCAAGGCGAGGUGUGUCGACGGUCAGAGCAAUAGCCUUGAAGCCGGCUCGCUCGGCACGACGCACCAGCUGGG